GGGAACUCGAAGUGCGGGUACUUUGGGCCAACCUCCCAUCCGUGUCUAUUGUACCCUGUUGCUUCGGCGGGCCCGCCGCUUGUCGGCCGCCGGGGGGGCGCCUCUGCCCCCCGGGCCCGUGCCCGCCGGAGACCCCAACACGAACACUGUCUGAAAGCGUGCAGUCUGAGUUGAUUGAAUGCAAUCAGUUAAAACUUUCAACAAUGGAUCUCUUGGUUCCGGCAUCGAUGAAGAACGCAGCGAAAUGCGAUAACUAAUGUGAAUUGCAGAAUUCAGUGAAUCAUCGAGUCUUUGAACGCACAUUGCGCCCCCUGGUAUUCCGGGGGGCAUGCCUGUCCGAGCGUCAUUGCUGCCCUCAAGCCCGGCUUGUGUGUUGGGUCGCCGUCCCCCUCUCCGGGGGGACGGGCCCGAAAGGCAGCGGCGGCACCGCGUCCGAUCCUCGAGCGUAUGGGGCUUUGUCACAUGCUCUGUAGGAUUGGCCGGCGCCUGCCGACGUUUUCCAACCAUUCUUUCCAGGUUGACCUCGGAUCAGGUAGGGAUACCCGCUGAACUUAAGCAUUAAAAACCGGGGAGAAAAAAAAAAAAGGGGUG
rnacentral:misc_RNA from 1 species